UUAUUAUGGCCUCUGUUGUUCCUUAGCUCCUACUGUAUUUCCUUUUCCUAUCAUGUUCUCUCUGAAAAAGAAGAGGAAGAAAAAAAAAAGGAAAAAAAAAUCUCAAUAUUCUGAAUACCAUUUCCAUUUGCAUGGUUGAGUUGUGAUUUUUCUGUUUUCUCUGCUUGGAUUCUUUGUUUUUGUUCUGUUUAGAUGAAGAUGAAGAUGAAGAUGAAGAUGAAGAGGGAGCUUGAGGAUGAUAGAUCUACUGGUGGUGGUGUUUACGGUGGCGGAAGGCAGGGGGUUGGGAAAGGGGAGUGUUCUUCAGUGUCGGGGGGGAAAGUGAAGAUGUGGGAGGAGGAGGAGCAAGAGGUCGGCGGCGGAGGAAUGGAUGAGUUGCUUGCUGUUUUGGGCUAUAAGGUUAGAGCGUCGGACAUGGCGGAUGUGGCGCAGAAGAUGGAGCAACUGGAGAUGGUGAUGGGAUCUGUUAAGGAAGAUGGGAUUUCUCAUCUGGCUUCUGAUACUGUUCAUUAUAAUCCUUCUGAUCUCUCUGCCUGGAUUCAAAAUAUGCUCUCUGAAUUCAAUAAUACCCCCAACCAUUUCAACUCUUCUUCUACUUCUACUACUCCUCCUCCUCAAUCUUCUCAAUAUUCCAAUCCUCACUCACGGAUUCAAUCCAGGCCUUCGCGGUUGUACGACGACGAUUCUGAGUACGAUCUCAGCGCCAUUCCUGGCGUAGCGGUUUUUCCUUCCAAAGAUUCCUCAACAGAAAUCGAAACUAAUUCUCGCAAGCGAGUGAAAAUUGAAGGAGAGAGUUCGGUGAAUUUGUUGCCGCCAUCGCCACCGUUUGUUGCGGCUGCGGCAGCGGCCGGGAUUGUCUCUGAACCUUCUCGGCCGGUGGUGGUUGUGGAGGAGGGUUCGCAAGACGCAGGGAUUCAACUCGUUCACACUCUAAUGGCCUGCGCCGAGGCCGUGCAGCAAGAAAACAUGAAGAUCGCUGAGGCAUUGGUGAAGCACAUCGGAUUACUAGCGGUAUCGCAAGCCGGAGCGAUGAGGAAAGUCGCGACGUAUUUUGCCGAAGCCCUAGCUCGUCGGAUUUACAGAAUCUACUCUCCUCAAGACGGAUUUUACUCUUCAUACUCCGAUAUCCUCCAGAUGCACUUUUACGAGACCUGUCCGUAUCUGAAAUUCGCGCAUUUCACUGCGAAUCAAGCGAUUCUCGAAGCAUUCGCGACGGCAUCGAGAGUUCAUGUCAUCGAUUUCAGUCUCAAUCAAGGUAUGCAAUGGCCGGCGCUGAUGCAAGCGCUCGCAUUACGGCCAGGAGGUCCGCCGACGUUUCGAUUGACUGGAAUCGGCCCGCCGAAGCAAGGUAAUACGACCGAUUCGUUGCAGCAAGUCGGUUGGAAGUUAGCGCAGAUGGCGGGGGCCAUUGGUGUGGAGUUUGAGUUCAAUCAAAUCGUGUGUAGUAACCUAGCUAAUCUCAAUCCGGCGGCACUGGAGAUUCGGCCGGCGGCGGUGGAGGCAGUGGCGGUGAAUUCGGUGUUCGAUCUCCAUCGGUUACUGGCUCGGCCUGGAGCGAUCGAGAAGGUUUUGGGAUCGAUAAAAGCAACGAAGCCGAAGAUCGUGACGAUUGUAGAACAAGAAGCAAACCACAACGGGAGGGUUUUCAUGGACCGGUUCACCGAGGCGUUACAUUAUUACUCAAACAUGUUUGACUCGCUCGAGGUUUCCUCGACCGGGUUUGAACCGGCUAGUGAGGACGUAUUGUUGUCUGAAGUUUAUUUAGGAAGGCAGAUUUGUAAUGUGGUGGCUUGUGAAGGACCAGACCGAGUCGAACGGCACGAGUCGUUAACUCAUUGGCGAACUCGGAUGGAAUCAGCUGGGUUCAACCCGGUUCAUCUCGGUUCGAACGCGUUUAAGCAAGCUAGCAUGCUUUUGGCCCUCUUUGCUGGAGGAGAGGGGUACAGAGUGGAAGAGAAUAAUGGGUGUUUGAUGCUUGGCUGGCACACUCGACCCUUGAUCGCCACGUCAGCUUGGCAGCUCGACGCCGAUGAGUCGACCCAGUGAGUUUGUGGCCGUGGCUCGUUCUCGGGUUUUUUUUUUUUUUUUUUUUUUUUUUUUCUGCCUUUGUAUUUGAAGGGUGGAUUAAUGACUAUAUUUUUGGGGUUGCCUUCUUACAAUAAAUAUGGUGAGCCUUAAUUCUUCAAGAAAUGUAAGAAAUUAUGAAAGUAUUUUCCUAAGUGUGCCAUUCCUCUUUGAUUUAAUUUUAAUUUCAAUGUUAUUGGUUGAUUGGA